AUUUCGUUAGCUCAGUUGGUAGAGCAGUUGACUUUUAAUCAAUUGGUCGCAGGUUCGAAUCCUGCACGACCCACCA
rnacentral:tRNA from 1 species